rnacentral:snoRNA from 1 species
UUAUAUGACGACAAAACGCUGUGCACCAGUCUGAGUACUCAUUGCAUGACAGACCAAAGUAUACCCAAAUUUCUGAUU